GGUGGCUCGGUUGUUAACAGUUGUGCUUGUGUGUGCACUGGGGAACCAUUUGGUCUUCGUUCAUCUCCACCAGGCCUUUCCAAACUCUCAGCCUCCUUCAAGGCUAACCCUCAUGCCUGGGACGGAGAAUUCCAUUCGACUCAGGAAUCAUUUAUUAAUCAUUUACUGUGUACAAGGAACUGUACUUGAGUGGCCACACAAGGAACAGAGCAGCCCCUACCUUUGAGAAACCUUUGUUUCCAUUUUUGGUGUGUGGUGGAGGGAACAGGGAGGCCUAGAACCUGUACCCAGGGACAGACAUCAAAAAUAAUUAGAGAAGGGAGUGAGGGAAACAGCAUUAAAAACACCCAGGUAUCCUAUAGGAGGUGACCCCUGAACAGGGAGGGUGAAGGACCCAACUUUGGACCCUCUGCCAGAAAAAACCAUCCCAGGGAUUGAAAGGAAACAGAACAAAACCAGGACAAACAACCUGGAAGGAAGUGACCAGAAGAAAUGGUAUCCACCAGGCCCCGCCCACAUUGGGACAGAAGCUUCCCUCAGAGACUUUUGUCCAUUCCAUCCUGCUGGCUGGCUGAAUAGAACCUGGAGAGGGGUGAUACUGAUUGACCAUCUGAUAUCC
rnacentral:lncRNA from 1 species